rnacentral:pre_miRNA from 1 species
AGGUCGGGAUGACUGGCAGUAUUGUUCUUUUCAACUAAUAUUGCACUCGUCCCGGCCUA